rnacentral:tRNA from 1 species
GCCCGGUGGGCUCCGUCGGUAGAGCACGCGACUCUUGAUCUCGGGGUUGUGAGUUCGAGCCCCACGUUGGGUG